AGGCGGGCUGCGGGGCGAGCAGCGGUCUCCAAAACCGCCGGUCGGGGGUUCGAAUCCCUCCACUCCUGCCCGCCA
rnacentral:tRNA from 1 species